rnacentral:rRNA from 1 species
GUCUACGGCCAUACCACCCUGAACGCGCCUGAUCUCGUCUGAUCUCGGAAGCUAAGCAGGGUCAGGCCUGGUUAGUAUUUGGAUGGAAGACACUCAUCUAACUACAUAAGGAUAAGUGUUGGUUGGAUA